AAGCUGAACUUCAAGGGUGACAGUUUAUGGAUGGCUAUUCAGAAUUGUGUAGCUCCAUAUAUGCAGUGACACUCAGGUGGGAAAUUGGAGAUUGCCUCGACUGGAGAAUUUUCAAAGGCUUGAUACCUAAAUGUAUUCUUCGGGUGGAUUUUUCCCGAUGAUGCGACAUCAUUUGAAUACACUGAAGUCUCAUCAUUUACCAGGUGUGCAGAAGGUUUUAAAACACUUUGAGCUGGUGGCCAGUCUUCGAAAAGCAGAAUGUUUCACAUCAAAAUCCAGAUUCCUGGCAUCUUUUUAA
rnacentral:lncRNA from 1 species